CUCCACCCUGGUGGCGAGCUGCUGGAUCGUGACAGUUGCCGGGCAUCCGCAUGCCGCUUUCGGGAUGUUGAUACGGUCCAACUGGGUCCAGUGGUCCCUCCAUAGAAGCUCUGGACCCAAGCUCAGCACGCGGGCCUUGGAAAAAGAAUUUUUUUUUUUCCCUCGAUAAUCUACACCAGUGGGCCCGCAUAAUUGGAUGAAAUUGCCGUAUCAUUCAUCAACU